rnacentral:lncRNA from 1 species
CCCCAAACUGGGAACCCCAAAACUGGGACCCUAUGGGACUGGGAUCACCUGAAACUGGGACACCCCCAAACUGGGAUCCCCCCCAAACUGGGAUCCCCCCCAAACUGGGACCCUAUGGAACUGGGACCCCCAAAACUCGGACACCCCCAAACUGGGGUCGCCCCCAAACUGGGAUCCUAUGGGACUGGGAUCCCCCCCAAACUGGGAACCCCCCCAAACUGGGACCCUAUGGGACUGGGACCCCCAAAACUGGGACCCCCCCAAACUGGGAUCUCCAAAUCUAGGACCCCCCAAACUGGAACACCCCCAAACUGGGAAGCCCCCAAACUGGGAUCCUAUGGGACUGGGAUCCCCCAAACUGGGAACCCCAAAACUGGGACCCUAUGGGACUGGGACCCCCAAACUGGGACACCCCCAAACUGGGACACCCCCAAACUGGGACCCUAUGGAACUGGGACAGCCCCAAACUGGGAUCCCCCCCAAACUGGGACCCUAUGGGACUGGGAUCCCCCAAAACUCGGACACCCCCAAACUGGGGUCGCCCCCAAACUGGGAUCCUAUGGGACUGGGAUCCCCCCCAAACUGGGAACCCCAAAACUGGGACCCUAUGGAACUGGGACCCCCCCAAACUGGGACGCCCCCAAACUGGGAUCCCCCCCAAACUGGGAUCCUAUGGAACUGGUAUCCCCCCCAAACUGGGAUCCCCCCAAACUGGGAUGCUAUGGGACUGGGAUCCCCCAAACUGGGACACCCCCAAACUGGGAUCCCCCCCCAAACUGGGACCUUGUGGGAUUGGGACCCCCAAACUGGGACCCCCAAACUGGGAUCCCCAUAUCUGAGACACCCCCAAACUGGGACCCUGUGGAACUGGGACCCCCAAACUGGGAUCCCCCCCAAACUGGAACCCCCCGUGCAACUCUUGGCCCCGCCCCCUUUGCUUAAGCCCCGCCCCUCGCUCAAACCACGCCCACCCGGGGUCGCCGCAAAGCCCCGCCCCCCCUCGGUGGGCGUGGCCUCCAGCUCACGUGACGCGCUCAAGCCCCGCCCUCCUGGCUAAGCCCCGCCCCCUUCGCUGUGUAAGCUCCGCCCCCUCGCAAUAAAGCGCUGCUGCUGCUGCU